GGAAUCUUCCACAAUGGACGAAAGUCUGAUGGAGCAACGUCGCGUGAGUGAAGAAGGUUUUCGGAUCGUAAAGCUCUGUUGUUGGUGAAGAAGGAUAGAGGCAGUAACUGGUCUUUAUUUGACGGUAAUCAACCAGAAAGUCACGGCUAACUACGUGUCAG
rnacentral:rRNA from 1 species